GCCAGUGUAGUGUAGUGGUUUGAGUACUGGAUUGCAACUCUGGAGGCCAGUGUUCGAUUCUCAGAUCAGCUA